rnacentral:rRNA from 1 species
GACGAACGCUGGCGGCGUGCUUAACACAUGCAAGUCGAACGGAAAGGCCCUGCUUUUGUGGGGUGCUCGAGUGGCGAACGGGUGAGUAACACGUGAGUAACCUGCCCUUGACUUUGGGAUAACUUCAGGAAACUGGGGCUAAUACCGGAUAGGAGCUCCUGCUGCAUGGUGGGGGUUGGAAAGUUUCGGCGGUUGGGGAUGGACUCGCGGCUUAUCAGCUUGUUGGUGGGGUAGUGGCUUACCAAGGCUUUGACGGGUAGCCGGCCUGAGAGGGUGACCGGCCACAUGGGGACUGAGAUACGGCCCAGACUCCUACGGGAGGCAGCAGUGGGGAAUAUUGCACAAUGGGCGGAAGCCGGAGGCAGCAACGCCGCGUGCGGGAUGACGGCCUUCGGGUUGUAAACCGCUUUCGCCUGUGACGAAGCGUGAGUGACGGUAAUGGGUAAAGAAGCACCGGCUAACUACGU